CGUAGGUGGCAAGCGUUGUCCGGAUUUAUGGGUUUAAAGGGUGCGUAGGCGGUCUUGUAAGUCAGUGGUGAAAUACGGCAGCUUAACUGUCGAGGUGCCAUUGAUACUGCAGGACUUGAGUACGGACGAGGUAGGCGGAAUUGACGGUGUAGCGGUGAAAUGCUUAGAUAUCGUCAAGAACACCGAUAGCGAAGGCAGCUCACUAGACUGUAACUGACGCUGAUGCACGAAAGUGUGGGGAUCAAACAGGAUUAGAUACCCUGGUAGUCCACACUGUAAACGAUGAUUACUCGAUGUUGGCGAUACACAGCCAGCGUCUUAGCGAAAGCGAUAAGUAAUCCACCUGGGGAGUACGCCGGCAACGGUG
rnacentral:rRNA from 1 species